CGGGCCCCGCAGUGAGGCUGAGGAGAGUGGGGAACCCAAAGCCGGCAUCGCCGGCGGCCAGAAGCUCGAGAGCCCAUCUCCUGUCGUCCUCCGCAGGCCGGGACAGGCCUCCUGGGAGAGUCUAGGGCGCAGGAGGUUUAGGAUUUCGGAAAGCGGACUGCGAACGCCUGCUUGGGGGUUUGGUUUGAGCCCUGGCUCCGGCCUUACUCGUGUUUCCCCGCGAGGAUGGCUUCAGCCUUUCCUGAGGUUGAAGUGAAAAAUCUGGCUUUGAAAUCUCCAUGGAAGACUACGUCAUUUCAGUCUUGAAUUUGAUUCACUUCUCAUACUGACUUCUUAUUGUAUUAAAAAUAUUUUAAUUAAC